CAAUCACAGAGCUGAAGAACUCACAAAUGCCUGUUACUCUGACUCCAGGGACUGGGCACUCUCUUCUGGAUUCUGACUAUAUGUAUACAUAUGUACAUACUCACACAUAGGUCCCCAGCCCAGGUGACGGUGCCACACAUAGUCGGUGUGGGGCUCUGGUCACAGCUGCCUGAGAUGUAAAGGAGAGCACUAAAGGGACGAGUGAGGGAUCUCAAGGGGCUGUGACUCACUAGCAUCUGCCUCUCAAGGACAAGCGAGACAGUUUGUCUCACAUACCACACCAUGUCCUGGGAAGAUGCCAUCGUGGGUAUCAAAAGUGACUGCUUGUGAGCAAGAGAAAAUGAAUUUCAAUCACAGAAACAACCCAAAGACACCUAUGUACUAUUGACAGCAACUUGACGUCUUACUAUGCUAAUGUCAGGACAGCUCAUGAGUACGCAGAUAUUUCCCUGGUCAUAGGGCUCGUCAGCAUGGUGUGGGAUAGCACAGUUGACAGAGGUUGUAAUGUCAACUUAACAUCAUGGACUAGUCAAGGCCACCUUAAUGCAAAGUUAGCAUGAUGGACUCAGAGACGGAACGAUCCCCAUCGAGCUUGCAAAUCCAAGACACAGUGACUUAGUGGCCCAGAAGAAACAAGGAUUUCCUGCUAAGCCAGGACUCCCAGCCAAAGCUGACCACCCACUGUCAUCCACUGUCUUGGGAGAAAGAACAAGUCCUU